UCCUGCCGGUGAAGACUGACACUCCCUCAUCACGGCAUGUUCAAAUUGUCUCAUCAGUGUCUGCUGUGUUCUAUCAAAUUGUAUCAGGUGUAACGUGAAAGAUCCUGACACAUUGUAAACACAUUGAAGGAACCUCUGCAAUGGAGCAUUAAUGAACUGCCCAAAGCCAAGACGAAGUCACAGCAGGGAGGAUAUUCGGCCAACAUUACACACACUGGAAGACUGUGUAGAAUCUGUUAAGAUGACAGUGGGAGAAAAUGACAGUGAUGAGGCUCCUCUCCCACUAGCUGCCUUUAAGAUGGAGAAGAUGAAGCUGGUUGCUCAGGACAUGUGGAGAUGUGGACAUGAGGCGGAGAUGGACUUCAUGCUCUCCUAUUUAAGAAGUUGUCUGGAUGAUGUCCGACAGCCACACGGUCUACUCUCAAUGCAGGAAAUAGGCUCAUGGAUAUGGAUAUAUAUAUGGAUGUUACCUGUAGCCAUUUCAAUAUGUGUGGCCUACUUCAAUGAUGGGUUGACUUUCACAAAAUGGACACUGUCGGCAGAUCACCUUAUGGUGCUAGUGCUAGUCUAGCAUGGUCAAGUAGAAGAGGAGUUCUCAGUUAUUUAUUUUCCAGAAUGUUUCGGUCAAGGAUUCCCAGGACACCAGAACACCAGGGCACAUGCUACUUCGUAUGCACACACACACAAGUAAGCACACACAUGCACACACACACUUACAGUACACAGAAUGAGUUGCAAGAGUAGAGGAUGGAGUACUUCGUAUGCACACACACUCAAGCAAACACACACAUGCACAUGCACAGUCACUUUACACAGAAUGAGUUGCAAGAGUAGGGGAUGGAGUACUUAGUAUGCACACAAACACACACACUCAAGCAAACACACACAUGCACAUGCUCACAGAAUGAGUUACAGUACAAGAGUAAGAGAUGGAGACAAAUUGAUGAGCAUCAUUAC